CAUGUCUUUUUGAAUUUAAUAUAAAGUCUAGUCUGCCCACUGAUAUAAUUAUUAAAUGGCCGCAGUAUUUUAACUGUGCAAAGGUAGCAUAAUCAGUAGUCUUUUAAUUGAAGACUUGUAUGAAUGAUUGGACGAGAUAUAAGCUGUCUUAGAAAAAAUAGUUUGAAUUUUAUUUUUUAGUUAAAAAGCUAAAUUAAUUUUAAAAGACGAGAAGACCCUAUAGAUCUUUAUAAAAAUAAUAUUUAUUUUUUAAAGUUAUAAAUUUUAAAUUUAUAUUUAUUUUUAUUUUAUUGGGGUGAUAUUGAAAUUUAAUUAACUUUCAAUAAUUAUUGAACAUUAAUUUAUGAAUAAUUGAUCCUUUAUUAUUGAUUAAAAAUUUAAGUUACCUUAGGGAUAACAGCGUAAUUAUUUUGGAGAGUUCUUAUCGAUAAAAUAGAUUGCGACCUCGAUGUUGGAUUAAGAUUAAUUUUGGGUGUAGCAGCUCAUAAUAUWAAGUCUGUUCGACUUUUAAUUUCU
rnacentral:rRNA from 1 species